rnacentral:ncRNA from 1 species
AAAUGAGUAAAGAUAAGGACAUGUGAUAUUUUUUACGGUUUAUAGAGAGGAAUGCCCAGGCUGAAAGCAUUCCAACACGGAAAAAUGUUGUACCCCCUUUGAACUUCAGCGGUGAAAAACAGGAGUAGUCGCUGACGGCCCAAAGCCGUUAAAUCUUGACCGAGUGCCGCCGCAUAUUUUGCCGCGGAACAAGGGUGGAACCACGAGUACAACACUCGUCCCUUUU